rnacentral:rRNA from 1 species
GAUGAACGCUGGCGGCGUGCCUAAUACAUGCAAGUCGAACGCUUCACUUCGGUGAAGAGUGGCGAACGGGUGAGUAAUACAUAAGUAACCUGGCAUCUACAGGGGGAUAACUGAUGGAAACGUCAGCUAAGACCGCAUAGGUGUAGAGAUCGCAUGAACUCUAUAUGAAAAGUGCUACGGGACUGGUAGAUGAUGGACUUAUGGCGCAUUAGCUUGUUGGUAGGGUAACGGCUGACCAAGGCGACGAUGCGUAGCCGACCUGAGAGGGUGACCGGCCACACUGGGACUGAGACACGGCCCAGACUCCUACGGGAGGCAGCAGUAGGGAAUUUUCGGCAAUGGGGGAAACCCUGACCGAGCAACGCCGCGUGAAGGAAGAAGUAAUUCGUUAUGUAAACUUCUGUCAUAGAGGAAGAACGGUGGAUAUAGGGAAUGAUAUCCAAGUGACGGUACUCUAUAAGAAAGCCACGGCUAACUACGUG